CACCAAAAGGGACGGAGUCACCUUAGAAGACAUUCAUUUAACCGUUGGAGUCAUAUCUAUGACUUUUAUGUUUUUUUGGAGCUUCAAAAAAAACGGAUCACCAGCCACUUGCAUUAAGGACCUACUGAGCUAAGAUAUUUUUAAAAAUGUCUUCUAAUGUUUUCUGGUGAAGCAAGAUAGACAUACACACCUGGGAUAUCACGAGGAUGUAUGUAGAGCGGAGGAGGGCGGGGCCGGCUGGAACAAUGCACGCCCGGUCCCCAAUCAGCCUGAUGGGGCCGUGCGAUGGAUAAAGGUGGCUGGUGACAUCGGUUAAAGGGAGAGAGAGAGAAUGACAUGCAGCUGCACUGCGUUUAUGUUUGUAAAGGAAAUGCCAUGAGUUUUAAUGCCAACCCUUCUUGAACUGUAUAGCUGAAAUGCUGAACCUCUGCAGGGUUGCUGAAGGUCACAUCUCCCUGCUGUUCACAAACCUACCAAGCAUGAUCAUUUCCUUACCUCUGCUAAAUACUAAAAGAAAAGUAUCUGCUUGGCUUUGGCAGGCUGUUGGACCAUAUGGACGCAUUCAUCAUGUAUCAGCACUCAUUAAAAGAGCCAUCAUGAAGCACUGGUGCUCAGCUGGGUGCAGCUGUACACACCUGACAACACCCUUGAUUCUCUACCCUGAAAUGUGCAUAACCAGUCUGCCUUUCACACAGGCCUUACUGUGCCUACUGCUUAACCAACCAUUCAGGCACACACAGUCACCAUGAACUAGGAUCAGUUGCUUCAGUAAGUACUCAGAUAAAAGCUAAAUCUCUAGAUGGAUUGAUUCAGGAACUAUCACCUUUGUGUCCUUUUGGCACUUAUCCAGCAAGGGGGCCAUUCACACUGAAUGCGCUUGUGCAUCCACCUGCGCUGUUUUUUAGUAGUUUUUCUAUGUAAACUUGCACUAGACAGAUCAUUGCGCCAAGUCUUGAUGUUUUUCCAGCAUAUUGUACAGGAAAGCUCCGUAUUUUAGAUGCCGAGUAAAGUUAAAAAUGUUCGAAAACACAUCUUGACUGCAUUCUGUUACAUUUGUCGUGCUGCAUCUAGCUUUUUUAGCGCAAGAAUGCGUUCAGUCUGAACGAACUAAGUGUACUGUAUUUCUUUGAAUAACUUAAGGUCCUAGAUCAUGUCUACUUUUACUACCCAUGUUUUUUUUCGUCCACUGAAAAUGCUAGCAAAAGAUGCAUUUAAAACAUUUCGUCAUGUGAUUGUCGACACAAACGUACACAACGGUACUUCCCAUUGAACAGAUUGUACUUUUAUUCAACUUGGUCUCAAAGACGAGCGUUAGUGAUGUUUCGUUCGUGAACAAAUCAAUCUUUUUGGGCAUAUCUUUUAAGGGAACUGCAUGUAAUUUGUUCAGUUUGUCAAUCUUGUUUCACAAGAAAAGGCGCCAGAUUAAUUUUUAAAAAUUGGCCCGUGAUUUUACAUAGAAACUGUCCCAAAAGUUGUUGAGCAUCACGGCCCGUUUCAAGGCCGGCCCGGUUCUCACUAUGGUCAGUCCGCACCUGAUCGGCGCCAAAGUGCAUCGGCCCACUGGGAAAAUGCCCAGUUUGCCAGAUUACCAAUCCAGCCCUGAUGACCACACAUUGCAAUGACAUACGGACGUUAUUGAAAAUCAUAAUAAUAUUUUAGGUUAGUAUUGUUGUAUUUCUAUUUUUUUUUUUUUUGGAUAACUUGAUAAAAAGUUGUGCUCAGUAGUUCAGGAUAUGAUAGAUAAGCUCUGUUGGCAUUUGUGGGAAGUGCAUUUGAUGAUUUAACACUUCAGUGCUGAAGUCUCUUGGAACUGUAUGCAAGCCAAUUUUAAUAAAGGAUAAAUAGACUUGUUCUGGUCAUGAAAGUCUGCUUCUGGUUCAAUACAAUUACUUAAAAGACUACAGGUGCAAAGGCGUAAAUUUAAGAAAUGGAAAAUGAACGAACCUGAACAAAUCUUUCUGGUGAACAGAAUCAAAAGAAUUGAGUACCUGAAAUUAAAUAAAAUUAUUGUGAGGUGAUAAUCUGACGUGGUGCGAGAUGCUAGGCGAUAGUCUGUGUUCUGCGACUGCUAUCGGUUCUUUGAAUAAGGCAGCCCCUAGUUUAAGAUGGUGCCCCCUAGGGAGUUGGUGCCCUACGUUGACUGUGUAAUAUGCGAAAAGGGA